rnacentral:rRNA from 1 species
GUCCACGCCCUAAACGAUGAUUACUCGAUGUGUGCAAUACACCGUACGCGUCUGAGCGAAAGCAUUAAGUAAUCCACCUGGGGAGUACGGUCGCAAGCUGAAACUCAAAGGAAUUGACGGGGGGCCCGCACAAGCGGAGGAGCAUGUGGUUUAAUUCGAUGAUACGCGAGGAACCUUACCAGGGCUUGAAAGUUAAGGAGUGAUGUAGAAAUAUGUCAGUCAGCAAUGACCUAAAACUAGGUGCUGCAUGGCUGUCGU